GCGCGUCUAGCUCAACGGUAGAGCAGCGGUCUCCAAAACCGCUUGUGUCAGUUCAACUCUGGCGGCGCUGCGCCA
rnacentral:tRNA from 1 species